rnacentral:sRNA from 1 species
ACACGGGAAAGGAGGUGGUCCGGAAGAUGAAGUCUUGUUGGACGCGUGAGGUGGCUGCCCGCUAGCAGCAACCGCGUGAGCGAAGUACUGCUCGCGAAUCCACAGCAGCUACCCGACCCGCAGGCGAUCCGGUCGUCACGUCCACCGGAGCGGGCCUCCUCGGAGGUUCACGCCUGCGGGUCGCUGCAU